CGAACCGGGGGAACUGAAACAUCUAAGUACCCCGAGGAAAAGAAAUCAACCGAGAUUCCCCCAGUAGCGGCGAGCGAACGGGGAGCAGCCCAGAGCCUGAAUCAGUAUGUGUGUUAGUGGAAGCGUCUGGAAAGGCGCGCGAUACAGGGUGACAGCCCCGUACACAAAAAUGCACAUGCUGUGAGCUCGAUGAGUAGGGCGGGACACGUGGUAUCCUGUCUGAAUAUGGGGGGACCAUCCUCCAAGGCUAAAUACUCCUGACUGACCGAUAGUGAACCAGUACCGUGAGGGAAAGGCGAAAAGAACCCCGGCGAGGGGAGUGAAAAAGAACCUGAAACCGUGUACGUACAAGCAGUGGGAGCACGCUUAGGCGUGUGACUGCGUACCUUUUGUAUAAUGGGUCAGCGACUUAUAUUCUGUAGCAAGGUUAACCGAAUAGGGGAGCCGAAGGGAAACCGAGUCUUAACUGGGCGUUAAGUUGCAGGGUAUAGACCCGAAACCCGGUGAUCUAGCCAUGGGCAGGUUGAAGGUUGGGUAACACUAACUGGAGGACCGAACCGACUAAUGUUGAAAAAUUAGCGGAUGACUUGUGGCUGGGGGUGAAAGGCCAAUCAAACCGGGAGAUAGCUGGUUCUCCCCGAAAGCUAUUUAGGUAGCGCCUCGUGAAUUCAUCUCCGGGGGUAGAGCACUGUUUCGGCAAGGGGGUCAUCCCGACUUACCAACCCGAUGCAAACUGCGAAUACCGGAGAAUGUUAUCACGGGAGACACACGGCGGGUGCUAACGUCCGUCGUGAAGAGGGAAACAACCCAGACCGCCAGCUAAGGUCCCAAAGUCAUGGUUAAGUGGGAAACGAUGUGGGAAGGCCCAGACAGCCAGGAUGUUGGCUUAGAAGCAGCCAUCAUUUAAAGAAAGCGUAAUAGCUCACUGGUCGAGUCGGCCUGCGCGGAAGAUGUAACGGGGCUAAACCAUGCACCGAAGCUGCGGCAGCGACGCUGAUGCGUUGUUGGGUAGGGGAGCGUUCUGUAAGCCUGCGAAGGUGUGCUGUGAGGCAUGCUGGAGGUAUCAGAAGUGCGAAUGCUGACAUAAGUAACGAUAAAGCGGGUGAAAAGCCCGCUCGCCGGAAGACCAAGGGUUCCUGUCCAACGUUAAUCGGGGCAGGGUGAGUCGACCCCUAAGGCGAGGCCGAAAGGCGUAGUCGAUGGGAAACAGGUUAAUAUUCCUGUACUUGGUGUUACUGCGAAGGGGGGACGGAGAAGGCUAUGUUGGCCGGGCGACGGUUGUCCCGGUUUAAGCGU
rnacentral:rRNA from 1 species